rnacentral:sRNA from 1 species
GCCAGGCAUGGUGGCUUGUGCCUGUAAUCCCAGCUACUUGGGAGGCUGAGGCAUGAGAAUCACUUGAAUCCAGGAGGCAGAGGUUGCAGUGAGCCAAGAUUGUGCCACUGCACUUCAGCCUGGGUAACAGAGUGAGACUCUGUCUCAA